CCCUUUGUCUCCGGAUCAGAUCAGAAUAAAGUCCGCCUCGGCUCAGCAGUUCAGUAUGAGGUCAGCUGCUUGGAUGGUGCUCAAGCGGUGGGCGAUGAUGAGCACCGUGCGGCCCCGAGUGGCCCGGUCCAGAGCCUCCUGCACCACGCGCUCCGACUCGGCAUCCAAUGCGCUGGUGGCCUCGUCCAGCACCAAAACGCUCGGGUUCUUGAUGAGGGCCCGGGCGAUGGCGACGCGCUGUUUCUGGCCUCCUGAUAACGUCACGCCUCGUUCGCCUGCGAUUUAAAGGAAACAUACGCGUGACCAGUGAGGCUGUGAAGAUUCAGAGCCACUUUCAAGCAACAGCUACAGUCCUGCCCCAGACCGCCCUGUCCGAAACAAUAUGAUACAGAAGCACUAUCAUAUGGAAAUGACCAUACUACUCACUGGUGAGAGUUCCUUGCUGUCGAAUCAGGUAAGCAGAGCUGCAUUGAUUUUUGGUCGUCAACAGAUUAAUGAUAGCGAACGGCGUGAGCUUCUAAAACCGGCACAUACAGUAUAAGAUUUUUUUGGGGGGGGGAGGGAGGGGGUGAAGUUGUGGAUGCAGUAGCUGAGGGGGAUUAUUUGUGUUUGGUGUGAUGUGUCCAUGCGUCACGUAUACAGUGCGUAGUCGUGUAUGAAGUUCUGCUGCACUUCCACGAGUGAAAAUGCUUUUCCCGUC